rnacentral:rRNA from 1 species
CCUACGGGAGGCAGCAGUGGGGAAUCUUGCGCAAUGGGGGCAACCCUGACGCAGCCAUGCCGCGUGAAUGAUGAAGGCCUUAGGGUUGUAAAGUUCUUUUGCCCGUGACGAUGAUGACGGUAACGGGAGAAUAAGCUCCGGCUAACUUCGUGCCAGCAGCCGCGGUAAUACGAAGGGGGCUAGCGUUGUUCGGAAUUACUGGGCGUAAAGCGCGCGCAGGCGGUUCGAUAAGUUAGGGGUGAAAUCCCUGGGCUCAACCCAGGAAUGGCCUUUAAGACUGUCGAGCUAGAGGACGAGAGAGGUGAGUGGAAUUCCCAGUGUAGAGGUGAAAUUCGUAGAUAUUGGGAAGAACACCGGUGGCGAAGGCGGCUCACUGGCUCGUUUCUGACGCUGAGGCGCGAAAGCGUGGGGAGCAAACAGGAUUAGAUACCCUGGUAGUCCACGCCCUAAACGAUGAGUGCCAGUGUCGGAGCUAGCUCUCGCGCGCNGCUACGCUACGCACUCCGCCGUCGGGAGGUACGGCCGCGACGGUAAACGUACGAAAGAAGUAGACGGCGUGUAGACGUUGCGACGGACGACGACGAGGGAGGAGG